CCCUUUACUUGUCUAGUGUUUUAUAUUUUGCCAAAUGUCUUGACAUACAGAAUCUUAUAUGCUCCUUGCCAUUACUCUGUACCACAGAUGUUUCAUCUCUAACAGGUGGGAUGACUGAGGCCAAUGGAAGUGAAGGUACUUGCCCAAGGUCACACAGCUGGGUUGGAACCAUUGAAGGUUCUUGAGCAGGGGAGGAACCAAAUCAGAGCUGAAGGUUAGCCGAAGAUGACUUUAGGAGCUAUGUGAACACUUACUGCCUACAGAGCCUGUGUGAUAUUGUGAUUUAUAAUAAGAAAUAUAUAUACAGUCUUAUGGUUCCUGGCACAGAGCUCCUAAGAACCUUGGAAUUUCCUAAGUGAUGAGAGCCAUAAAGGUGUCUUUGUUGUGUCAAUGAGGUGACUUUUGAACAACCAGUGGAGCCAACCAUGUGAUUAGAGAACUUUCAGUCUCAUCCUCAACCUCCUGGGAGAAGAGAGGAGCUGGAGCUCAAGCACCAACGGCCAGUGAUUUAAUCAAUCACAACUAGAUAAUGAAGCCACCAUAAAAACCCAAAAGGUUGGGUUCAGAGAGCUUCUGGGUUGGUGAACACCUGGAUGUGCUGGGAGGGCAGUGCACCUGGAGAAGGCAUAGAUGCCCCAUGCCUCUUCCCACAUACCUUGCUCUGUGCAUCUCUUCCAUCUGGCUACUCCUAAGUUACAUCCUUUUACAACAAACUGGCAAUACAGUAAGUAAAUGUUCCUCUGAGUUCUAUAAGCCACUGGCAAAUUAAUUGAACCCAAGGAAGGGUCAGAUGCACAGGUGACAGCUUGGGCUUCUGAUUGGUGUCUGAAGUAAGAGAGUGGGAAAAGUCUUGUAGGACUGAGCCCUUAACCUGUGGGAUCUGACUCUAUCUCCAGGCAGAUUGUGUGAGAAUUAAGGUGGCUUGUAGGCACCAGGUAGUAUGGGAAAGCUGCUUGGCCACAUGGAGAAAAACCCACGUUGGAAUUUGGUAUCAGCGUUAUCACCCUGCCAGUUGAGGAAGGAGGUGGAUCACACACCUACAGUCCCUGAGUGCUUGGGGUGGCCAGUCAGGAAGAGGGCAUUCCAGACUGGGCGAGGGAAAUGCUGGGAAAGAAACAGCCUCCAGGGGUGUGAGGAGGUCUCUGGGGUGGGAGCUUCCCUGUGGGGCAGGCAAAGGCCUCCAACCUUGAGGGUCUCAAAGGAAGCUGAAGUCAGAUUUAGCUGGUUGUGGACACCACCAAAUCCUGAGCUUCCCUCAAAAGAGCAAGAGGCCUCUGUGGCCUGGUCAGUGCUGCAGUGGACUCCCUGUGGGAGUCAGGUUCAGGAGAGCAGGGAAUAGGAGAGAGACCCUGUCACCGAGGAGGAAGCACCCGGCCCUCAGUGUGGCUACAGGAGAGAGAGGGGACUUCAUCCAGGGAGUACAGGGCGCAGUGAGGCUCCAGGGCUCCCAGCCCUGGCUUCCCACACCCUACAGCACCCAAGAGGCAGCCGAAUAUGAGCUGAGUGUCCCAGCCUGAGGAGCCCUCCUGUCCCAGAAGCCAGGCUCUUGGGCUCAGCUCUCAGCGGCCUCUCCCUCGUGGAGAUCUCAACUAAAUCAUACCUAUGUAAUGAAGCCAAACCCCAGUCUGGCUCCUGGGGGACAUAUUGGGCCAAGUUCCAAAUGCGAUGCCAGCCCCUAGGCCAUCUGUGAGCAACUGGCCUUCUCAUGCCCAGAAAGGAUAGAGCCUGAAGUUUCUUUUGCCCUCCAGGCAGGACUGAUCUCCUCCUCACCCUUUGGCCAAAGACAUCAAAAGAGGGGGCUCCAAGGUCUUUGCUGCUGCCUCAAAAUUGCAGGAUGUCAUCAUCAAACCUGGCUGUGGGAGAGUCAGAACCUGAGGCUCAGAGAGGCCGAGCAACUGACCCUGAGACACACAGCAAACCAGCCAAGGAAAGUGAGAGAAGAAAUCAGUCCCUAGGCUGCACUCUGGACAAAGACAAAUUCAUCAAAGGCCAAGGAGUCCUGGGGGCAGAGGCCCACCACCCACAUUUUCUCUGCUUCCUCUGUCCUCAGUCUGCAGGCACAAGUCAGAGUUGGUUUCCAUGACCUAGGUCUCUACAUCUGCUUCCAAUUGAGAUGGUAACACAGAUUUCAAGAGAAAUCUGCCACCUCAGACACUGGAUGAGAAACUAGAGGGCCAGACCUCUUCAGCUUUUUCAAUACAUAGUCGGGGAGUUUAGAAACACACUGAUGGCUUGGAAUGGCCCAAGGAAAUGACUGUCCAAGGUGAGGAUCAAUCAAGCCCAUUACCUCCGGGGUCUGCCGCUGGACGGCAUCCUUUCCUGACGGUAUGCAGGGGCGG